rnacentral:rRNA from 1 species
AUUGAACGCUGGCGGCAGGCCUAACACAUGCAAGUCGAGCGGAUGAAGGGAGCUUGCUCCUGGAUUCAGCGGCGGACGGGUGAGUAAUGCCUAGGAAUCUGCCUGGUAGUGGGGGAUAACGUCCGGAAACGGGCGCUAAUACCGCAUACGUCCUGAGGGAGAAAGUGGGGGAUCUUCGGACCUCACGCUAUCAGAUGAGCCUAGGUCGGAUUAGCUAGUUGGUGGGGUAAAGGCCUACCAAGGCGACGAUCCGUAACUGGUCUGAGAGGAUGAUCAGUCACACUUGAACUGAGACACGGUCCAGACUCCUACGGGAGGCAGCAGUGGGGAAUAUUGGACAAAGGGCGAAAGCCUGAUCCAGCCAUGCCGCGUGUGUGAAGAAGGUCUUCGGAUUGUAAAGCACUUUAAGUUGGGAGGAAGGGCAGUAAGUUAAUACCUUGCUGUUUUGACGUUACCAACAGAAUAAGCACCGGCUAACUUCGUG